rnacentral:rRNA from 1 species
GAAUGGGGAAACCCAGUGUGAUUCGUCACACUAUCAUUAACUGAAUCCAUAGGUUAAUGAGGCGAACCGGGGGAACUGAAACAUCUAAGUACCCCGAGGAAAAGAAAUCAACCGAGAUUCCCCCAGUAGCGGCGAGCGAACGGGGAGGAGCCCAGAGCCUGAAUCAGCAUGUGUGUUAGUGGAAGCGUCUGGAAAGGUGCGCGAUACAGGGUGACAGCCCCGUACACAAAAGCGCAUGUGCUGUGAGCUCGAUGAGUAGGGCGGGACACGUGGUAUCCUGUCUGAAUAUGGGGGGACCAUCCUCCAAGGCUAAAUACUCCUGACUGACCGAUAGUGAACCAGUACCGUGAGGGAAAGGCGAAAAGAACCCCGGCGAGGGGAGUGAAAAAGAACCUGAAACCGUGUACGUACAAGCAGUGGGAG